AGAUCAUAUACUGAGAUUCACUGUAAUGUAAUGAAUAAUAAUUGGCAACUUCAACUGUUGAUGUGCUUUAAAGUUAAGAUUGUGAAGAUCCUAUACACUGUCAGUGUUUUGGUUUGUACUGCCAAUUUUUAAGAACUCAGCAAUUUUUUUUAAGUUCAUCUAUUUAUUUUGAGAGAGAGAGAGUGAAAGAAAGAAAGAAAGCAUGAGCAUGGGAGGGGCAGAGAAAGAUAGAGAAUCCAAGGAAGGCUCUGCACUGUCAGUGCAGAGCCUGACGCAGGGCUCAAUCCCAUGAACCGUGAGAUCAUGACCAGAGCCAAAAUCCAGAGUCAGUCACUUGCUUAAGUGACUGAGCCACCCAGGUGCCCUGAGAACUCUGCAAUUUCUAUAUGCAUAAACCAGCUUGGAAAAAUUAUGCAAUUAUGAAGCUAUUCUUGAAAUUGGUUAUUUUAUUAAAUUUGAAUAGACUGGUCCCCAACCAGGAUCAUCAGUUGAAGUGCAUAGAUUAUUGCUGUAGUAUUUACUGGGCAUAUGCAUUUAUUUAGGUAAAAGUUUGGCUAAACUUUAUUCACAUGGAAUUUCUAAAUCCUGCAGUUCCUGGUUUAUCCGUUUAUGUGGAAAAUAAUGGAAACACACAAUUAGGUCCUCCUCCUCCUGCUUCUCUCUUUUUUCCCUACCUACAUUUGCUGUUGCUUACUUUGCUUUUUGCUGGUACCUCUGUCAGUGAAAUCAAAUCUGCCGCUGCGACAAGCAGUAGAACUUCAUGAUGAGAUCAGAUCGAUGGGUGAGUGGAGAGUGAGUCACUGGAGAGGAGUCUGAGAUUGCAAGGGGAUGAGACGGGGAGGGGGGUGGGGGGGAGACAUCUGAAAUGUUCACACAAACAUUAAGUCUUCAGAAUUAGCAGGAAAGAGUGAAAAUAGAAGACAGAAAGUUACAGCAAGAUAGUCAACAGAAAUAUACAUUUUGGCAUUCCAGGUAUGAUUUGAAAAAGGCGAAAAGUUUAUUUUUAAUAAAGAAAAAUCACCUGUAAUUCCCUAAAUCUAGAAAGCAGAAAGUGUCUGUACCUCCCAUGAGGUUAAACCUUUUGUUAUUAGCUAAGAAGUGUUCCUGUUAAGUAUGUCAUUGGAGAGAAAAACAAUUAUCUCUUUUUCUAAAGUAAUGUUUAUGAAAUAAAGGGCAACUGAGUACGAUAAAGUUUCCCCCUCGGAGAUCUAAUAUUUAGCCAAAAUCUUGAUCAGUUUCUUUUGCUCAGGCUGGCAGCCAUUUUUAGCCCCAGUCAGUUCUCAUUGACCUGACUUGGGAUAACUGCUAAACCCAAUGUCAGUUUUCAGUCCUUAUCUUAUCUGACCUGUCAGCCACAUGUGACCCAGUUGAUCACUCCCUUCAUCUUGAGACACCCCUUCACUCGGUUUCCAACAUACUCUGUGCUCUCCUGGCUUUCUUUCCUCUCCUCAGUCUCCUCUGCUGGUUAUUAUUUUAUUUACCCAAUCUCUCAAAGUUGGAGCUCCCCAGGAUCCAGUCCUUAAGCUUAUUUUAUUUUAUUUUAUUUUAUUUUAUUUUAUUUUAUUUUAUUUUAGUAUUAAUCAUACCUGGUGUCAUGGCUUUAAAUACUACCUAUCUUUCUUACACCACACACAAAAAUAAACUCAAAGUAGAUUAAAGACCUAAAUGUGAGACCUGGAACCAUAAAACUCCUAGAAGAAAACAUAGACAGUAACUUCUUUGACAUUGGGCCAUAGAAAAUUAAACUAUUGGGACCAUGCAAAAAUUAAAAUCUUUGCCUAGCAAAGGAAAGCAUCAACAAAAGAAAAAGGCAACUUACUGAAUGGGAGAGGAUAUUUGCAAUUGAUAUAUCCAAUAAAGGAUUACUAUCCAAAAUAUAUAAAGAACUUACACAACUCAGCAGCAGCAAAAAAAACAAAAAAAAACAAAAAAACAAAUAAUUCAAUAAAAAAAUAGGCAGAGGACUGAAUAGACAUUUUAUUAAGAGGACAUGCAGACACAUGAAAAGAUGCUCAACAUCACUCAUCAUCAGGAAAAUGCAAAUCAAACCACUAUGAGAUAUCACCUUAAACCUGUCAGAAUGUCUAAAAUAAAAAACACAAGAAAUAAGUAUUGGUGAAGAUGUGGGGAAAAAAAGGAAACUUUGUACACUGUUGGUAGGAAUGUGAGUUGGUGCAGCCACUGUGGGAGAUAGUAUAGAGGUUCAAAAAAAAAUAAAAAUAAAACUACCAUAUGAUCCAGUAAUUCUGCUACUGGGUAUUUACCUAGAGAAAAAGAAAACACUAAUUAGAAAAAUAUAUACACCCUAUCGCAUAUUAUUGCAGUAUUAUUUAUAAUAGCCAAGAUAUGGAAGCAACCCAAGUGCCCAUCAGUAGAUGAAUACAUAAAGAAGAUGUGGUAUGUAUACAGUGGAAAACUACCCAGCCAUAGAAAAGAAUGAAAUCUUGCCAUUUGCAGCAACAGGGAUGGACGUAGAGGGUAUAACGCUAAGUGAAAUACGUCAGACUGAGAGAGGCAAAUAGCACAUGAUUUCACUCACAUGUAGACUUUAAGAAACAAAACAAAUGAACAAACAGGGAGAAAAAAGAGAGAAAAAAGACUCUUAGAUACAGAGAAUAAACUGGUGGUUGACAGAAGGGAGGUGGGUGGGGGGAUGGGUGAAAUAGGUGAAGGGGAUUAAGAGUAUACUUAUCAUGAGGAGCACCGAGAAAUGCAUAGAAUUGCUGAAUCAUUAUAUUGUAAACCUGAAACUGAUAUAACACCGUAUGUCGAUUAUACUUUGAUUAAAUACAUACAUACAUAUCAUAUACCACUCUCUUUCCCGUUGGACUCUAGACUUGUCCAUCCAACCACCUGCUUUACAUCUUUUCAUGGAGGUCUAAGGGAUUUCUCAAACUUAACGUGCCUGAAAACGCAUUCCUAAUAUCCCCUCUAAGCCUGCUCAUCUCACAACACAUCCCACCUUGAUUUAUGGUAAAUCUUUUUUCCACCUCUCAUGCCAAAAACCCUAAAGUAAUUCUUAAUGCUUCCAUACCACCCAUCUGAAUGCCAGAGAAUCCUGUUGACUUUAUGAUAAAAAUAUAUCUGGAAUUUGACCACUUUGUACCACUGCCAGCCCCACCGCCCUGGUCCUAGCUACAUUAUUUCUUGCCUGGAGUGUUGUAGGUAACCGCUUUCCCUGCUUCCGCCUUUCCUGCUCAUAAACAGUCAGCUCGGUCCUUUAAAAUGGAAGUCACAUGAUGUCACGACUCUGUUUAAGACUUCCCAAUGACCUCCACUUUCACCAGGAAGAGCCAAAAUGUCCCCCACGCAUCUUACCUUUUUGACUUAUGGCUAACUCGUAUUCAUUCUGCCUCAGGCACACGGGCCUCCACACACUGUUCCUUGGACAUGCUGUACAUACCUCUGAUUCAGAACUUGUGCAUUUGCUAUUUUCACAAACACACAGCUUGCCCCUUCAUUUUUCUUGAGGCCAUUAUUCAUAUUUUAUCUGGGGUGAGCUCUUCCCUGACCACCCUAUUGAAAAUGGCCACCCUCUACAUCUUCUCCCCUCCUCCCUGCAUACACUGCAUUUUCUUCCUUAAUUUUCUCUUGUCACCGCCUUCCAACUUCCUGUGUGCUUUACUUAUUUUUCUGUCUCUUUAUGUUAGAAUAUAAGUUCUGUGAGGGUAGGUUCUUUGUUUUGUCCAUUGGUGUAUGCCUAGGACUUAGUGUCUGGCAAGUAGUAGCAUUCAGUUAAUGCUUUUUGAAAAUAAUAAAUGUGUUGAAAAUAAUAAAUGAUGAUUAGUCAAAAGAAAGGAGAUGACCACACAGUGUAUCAUUCCUUGAUGGGAUGAGAAGGGACGUGCAUGUGUGGUGGGAGAGGGGUUUCAGGGACCCAGGCUCGGCAUUAAGGUGGGUUAUCACAUGACAGUAAUCUCCCCUCCGUACUUGGUGGGUCCCAUCACCCACGCCUGAGUCAAAUCAAAACUACUGUCGAGCACUCUUUUUACUAAUGCCGAGGCUAUUUUAACAUUCCAUUAAAAACCAUUUAAAAUACAAAAACAAGGCUGUAUUACUUUAAUUCUGACCUUAUGAGACUCUCAGUUUUAUAACUGUGUAAAGAAAAUGUGGAAAGGUUGAAUAUAUUUGCUGGCCCCAAUCUUUUUAUUACUCAUCUCUAUAAAAGAGGCUUUUAGGGACAUAUUAAAAAGUUUCCAUCUCUCUUGUCUCUUGCCUUCCUUCUCAUCUUCCUUUGUUGCACCCCAAAUGGUCAAAAGCAAGACCCUGAAAGUCUGGAGGAAAUGUGUUCUGGUCAGAGCAGACUGGGGUGAAGCUGGCCUAGAACUUGGGAUCCUGCCUUCAGAACUGCUGCACAAGUUAUUGCUUCUAACAGCAUGAGCUCUUGAGUGUUCAACAUUCCCGAGAACUCAUUUAGCUGUUGUUUCCCCCUAGAAAGGUAAGUUGUCACUUGGAUGCUUUCCUUGUUUGUGCCUUCUCCCAUGUGUCUCUUCGUGUUCGGCUGGAACGAAGAGGAAAGCUCCAGUUCUGAGAACAGGUACCACAACCAUGUAGGCAAAGACACAGAGUGAAGUGUUGUCUGUUAAACUGGAAAGCAGGUAGUUUUUUAGACAAACUGAAAGCCAGUAAUGACUUCAUCCAUUUCCUGUAAUAAGGCAAUAGUCUGACCUUGAGGAACCUAUUAAAGUAUGCUUUCAAACACAGAGGCCAUUUCUAGGGCUCGAGGUAGAGUGGUCGUUACCCUCAACUGUAUUCUGAAACGAGGUAGUUUAUAAACCAUAUGGCAGUUUAUAAAAUCCUAGGAAUAUAAAGCAAAAUCUCCAAAAUCGCCAGGAGUUUUGAAGUUCAAUGUUCAUGCCACGUGAACUCUUUUUUGUUUUAUGUCUUGGCCAUUUAGCAUUCUUUAGAGACACCUGCAUGAUGGAAAUUUAGCAGGGAUUUUGUGCAAAUUUGUUAGUUACAGGCUGGUUGGUUUGUUUUUCUUAAUAGAGGUAUCAAUACAGAUGCAAAGAAGCAAACUACUUUUAUUAAUAUAGAUGCUUCCAAUGGGGCACCUGGAUGGCUGAGUCAGUUAAGUGUCUGACUCUCUGUUUUGGCUUAGGUCAUGAUCUCAUGGUUCCUGAGUUUGAGCCCCACAUCGGGCUCUCUGCUGACAGUGCUGAGCCUUCUUGGGAUUCUCUCUCUGUCUGCUCCUACCCCUGCUCACUCUCUCAAAAUAAAUAAAUAAUAAAUAAAUAAAUAAAUAAAUAAAUAAAUAAAUAAACAAACAAACAUAUACCAAAAUAUAUAAGAUGUCUUAGGGGGGGCUCCUUUCAUCAAUGGAGCUUAAAAUAUGCCCAUCUCUUCAGUUCUUUUUUAUGCAUUUAUUUAACAUUCAAUUUGUUCUCCCUAAGUUGUUCUAUAAUACGGCAACAGGAUAGUAAUAAUAAUAAUAAUGAUGCAUUUAGAAUCAUAAAAUGGUGGCAUGUUUGAGCUCCAGGGGACUUUAGAGAACACCUAGCCCAAUCCUUUAUUUUUACAGAAGAGGAAAAGUAAAGAUGGGCAGUAACUUGCCCAAGGUCUUACACUGAAUUGCUGGCAGAACUGGGCAUUAAAUCUGUCUCCCCAAGUCUCUGUCAGCUGUUCUGAUCAUUAAGUCACAAAGGAGCUAUUUCUCAAAAUGAAGAAAUAAAAUGAAGUUAUUUUUGAAAAUAGCCUUUCUCUAUUUUUCCAAUCGUCCAGAAAAACAAAAAUUAUUACAUACUUUGGAGUAACUAAACAACAAAAUAUUCAAGACCUACUAUAUAUCUAGAGAACCAAAAAUAAAACCAGCAUCUUCCUGUGAUUUCCAUUGCAUGAGACAACAUGGUACUGCUCAUAUAUUUUCAAAACUGUGUUUAUGUUAGAUUCUUAUUAUUGUAUUUAAAUGCUCAACAAGCUUCCUUGAUAUUUCCUGGGCACGUGGAGCCCUGCCGUCCCAUGCCGUGGAAUUUUGCAGUGCUGAAGUUGGUGGCUAGAACCUAGACAAUGGAAAUCUCGGGACACUUUUUCAUUUCUGAUAAACUUGGCACAAUGUUGUGACUCCACUUUGUAAAUAUUUUUGAUGUUUUAAAAUGAGGUGGCAUACUCAAGAAAGCUCAGGGGUCAGUCUUACAGAAGUGCCACUUCUCUUCUCUGGUAUCAGAAAGUUGGAUCCUUCUAGAACCUUUCUUUAUGAGAACCAGAAAGGGUUGGUGGAAAUCUGAACAUUAUAAAGUUAGUAACAUCUUAGUCAAGUGAGUCUGAAUCUACGCUACAGAUUAAGCUAUGUACAGUUUACUAAGCGCUCUAACUAAAGUACACACACAGAUGUGUGAACAAGCUGUUGACAGGAGUCACUACCAGCUGAAAUCUAGGUAAGAUUGCACAACCUUUGAUUUGUGUGGACCAAUUUCCCUAUCCCUUCAAUAUACACACAUUUCCAGGAGACUUGUUUCUUUCAGGCUAUCUUUGGCCCCUAGCUCUUUCUUCUUGAAUCAACUCCAUGCAGGUCAUUUUAUCCUCCUGUGGGUCACAUUCAUGUUCCAUACUGAGUAGAUUCAGAGGUGGAAUUCAUUCUGUUUCUUUUAUUUCUGCACAGGCCACUCAGACAAGACCUUGCAGUUACUGCCAGACCCUACCAAAGAAGAGUUUACAGCACAACAAACAAGCAUCUGGAAACAGCAUAUUAAAAUCCCUCUUCUUAAAAAAUCCAUUGUCCAACUCAGACUCUAACAUCCCUGGUGCCCUCAACUCUCCUGUCUACUUUUCUCCUUCUAUCCAUCUUGAGAGCAAGCCCAACUUCAGUAGUAGUGCUUUUGGUAUUGUCGUCUUAUGUAAUAUUUCGGUUAAUUCUUUGUUUCGUUUUCUCCUUAUGGUCUUGCUUGACUCUAUGCACUAAAAAAACAAAACAAAAACAAAACAGAACAAAGAAAUUAAAACCUGAUCCAAAUCAAACCAAACCAACAACCCAAUGUGCCAUUGAAUUAUUUUUCUAAGUGAAGAAUAUUUCCCCCCUGCAAGGCGCCACUUGUGACACACACACACACACACACACACACACACACACUUAAUUACAGUUAAUGCACAGUUCAAGUAACAUCAUGGUCCUGGUAUUAAUUCUAGUCCUUUCUCAUUAAGAUUGGUGGUGAAUGUUUUAGCCCCAGGUAGCUAAGGGGAAGUUGCCUGCUGUCUUUUAAAUCUGGGUCCUCUUCUUUUAAUGACCUAACUUGAUCAUCUUCAAUCAAUCUCCUUUUUGGAUUUCAUCCAUCUCAAAUGAGCUUCUCCUUCUAUAUGAGCUACUGUACCAAUCACUGAGAGAAUUCAAUUUGUUUGCAAUUGCUUGAGGAUCUGACUUCACUGUACAGUCUUUGGAGUAUAGUUCUAGCUAUUUCUUUUUACAACUUCUAUCCGGUUCUGUGCACAUUAUGGAAGUGCAGUUCUUUUAAGCCCUUUUAUGUACAUAGCAACAUCUGCCUCUGAACUUCCCUGUAGCAAUGGGAAUUUUAGCUACUCUGGCUUUGGCGUGGAAGAAAUAAAUUCCAGGUUGAGUGUUCCUUCAUAAAG
rnacentral:lncRNA from 1 species